UCCCAGUUCGGAUUGUAGUCUGCAACCCGACUACAUGAAGCUGGAAUCGCUAGUAAUCGCGAAUCAGAAUGUCGCGGUGAAUACGUUCCCGGGUCUUGUACACACCGCCCGUCACACCAUGGGAGUCGGAAAUGCCCGAAGUCAGUGACCCAACCGUAAGGAGGGAGCUGCCGAAGGUGGAGCCGGUAACUGGGGUGAAGUCGUAACAAGGUAGC
rnacentral:rRNA from 1 species